AACGAACGCUGGCGGCAUGCCUAACACAUGCAAGUCGAACGAGACCUUCGGGUCUAGUGGCGCACGGGUGCGUAACGCGUGGGAACCUGCCCUUAGGUUCGGAAUAACUCCCCGAAAGGGGUGCUAAUACCGGAUAAUGUCUUCGGACCAAAGAUUUAUCGCCUUUGGAUGGGCCCGCGUUGGAUUAGCUAGUUGGUAGGGUAAAAGCCUACCAAGGCGACGAUCCAUAGCUGGUCUGAGAGGAUGAUCAGCCACACUGGGACUGAGACACGGCCCAGACUCCGACGGGAGGCAGCAGUGGGGAAUAUUGGACAAUGGGGGAAAGCCUGAUCCAGCAAUGCCGCGUGAGUGAUGAAGGCCUUAGGGUUGUAAAGCUCUUUUACCCGGGAUGAUAAUGACAGUACCGGGAGAAUAAGCACCGGCUAACUCCGUG
rnacentral:rRNA from 1 species